GUAGGUGGCAAGCGUUAUCCGGAUUUAUUGGGCGUAAAGCGAGCGCAGGCGGUCUUUUAAGUCUAAUGUGAAAGCCUUCGGCUCAACCGAAGAAGUGCAUUGGAAACUGGGAGACUUGAGUGCUGAAGAGGACAGUGGAACUCCAUGUGUAGCGGUGAAAUGCGUAGAUAUAUGGAAGAACACCAGUGGCGAAGGCGGCUGUCUGGUCUGUAACUGACGCUGAGGCUCGAAAGCAUGGGUAGCGAACAGGAUUAGAUACCCUGGUAGUCCAUGCCGUAAACGAUGAUUACUAAGUGUUGGAGGGUUUCCGCCCUUCAGUGCUGCAGCUAACGCAUUAAGUAAUCCGCCUGGGGAGUACGACCGCAAGGUUG
rnacentral:rRNA from 1 species